rnacentral:rRNA from 1 species
GAUGAACGCUGGCGGCAUGCCUAAUACAUGCAAGUCGAGCGAACGGAUAAGGAGCUUGCUCCUUUGAAGUUAGCGGCGGACGGGUGAGUAACACGUGGGUAACCUACCUAUAAGACUGGAAUAACUUCGGGAAACCGGAGCUAAUGCCGGAUAACAUUUGGAACUGCAUGGUUCUAAAGUAAAAGAUGGUUUUGCUAUCACUUAUAGAUGGACCCGCGCCGUAUUAGCUAGUUGGUAAGGUAACGGCUUACCAAGGCAACGAUACGUAGCCGACCUGAGAGGGUGAUCGGCCACACUGGAACUGAGACACGGUCCAGACUCCUACGGGAGGCAGCAGUAGGGAAUCUUCCGCAAUGGACGAAAGUCUGACGGAGCAACGCCGCGUGAGUGAUGAAGGUUUUCGGAUCGUAAAACUCUGUUAUUAGGGAAGAACAAAUGUGUAAGUAGCUGUGCACAUCUUGACGGUACCUAAUCAGAAAGCCACGGCUAACUACGUGCCAGCAGCCGCAGUAA